UAAACGUACAUUUUUGUCAGUUACAAUUUGGAACGGGGGGGUGGGGGGGGAGUACAAUCAAUUGAGAUGAAAGACUUUAUCACGAAAUAAAAUUCGAUAUUCAGAUGGAGCAAGAAUACCUCCUUGAACUUACUUACAAAGGUGUUUUUGUGUUAGCUAUAUUACAUGUAGCUGCACUAGUAUACUGGCUUUUUUGUCUUUUCAGAGGGAGGAAAGGCGACAAGAGAAGUUCUCCAAACUUCAUUGAACAUUCGAAUGUAUAUUGGUAGACAAAAUUCAUGUCAACCAUGUCUACUUGAUGUAAGAUUAAUUAAUAACACUUAAUAUGCAACCAAA